GCCGGGCACGGUGGUGCAUGCCUGUAGUCCCACCUACUCCGGAGGCUGAGACAAGAGGAUUGCUUGAGUCCAGGAGUUCUGGACUGUAGUGCCCUAUGCUGAUCAGGUGUCUGUACUAAGUUUGGCCCCUGGCAGUGGGGCCACCAGGUUGACAAAAGACAGGUGAACCAACCCAGGUGGGAAACGGAACAGGUCAAAGCUUCCGUGCUGAUUAGCAGUGGGAUCGCACCUGUGAAUAGCCACUGCACUGCAGCCUGGGCAGCAUAGUGAGACCCCAUCUCUU
rfam:Otolemur garnettii contig137953, whole genome shotgun sequence.